rnacentral:rRNA from 1 species
UACGUAGGGGGCUAGCGUUGUCCGGAAUCAUUGGGCGUAAAGCGCGUGUAGGCGGUCCGGUAAGUCCGCUGUGAAAGUCGGGGGCUCAACCCUCGAAUGCCGGUGGAUACUGUCGGGCUAGGGUGCGGAAGAGGGAAGCGGAAUUUCCGGUGUAGCGGUGAAAUGCGUAGAUAUCGGAAGGAACAUCAGUGGCGAAAGCGGCUUCCUGGUCCAGCACCGACGUUCAGGCACGAAAGCGUGGGGAGCAAACAGG